rnacentral:rRNA from 1 species
CGUGUAGGCGGCCUUCUAAGUCUGGUGUGAAAGCCCGGGGCUCAGCUCCGGAAGUGCAUCGGAAACUAGUUGGCUGGAGCGCGAUAGAGGAGGGUGGAAUUCCUGGUGUAGCGGUGAAAUGCGUAGAUAUCAGGAGGAAUACCGGCGGCGAAGGCGGCCCUCUGGAUCGUUGCUGACGCUGAGACGCGAAAGCGUGGGGAGCAAACA